CCCUUAGAUAUCCUGGGCCGCACGCGCGUUACACUGAUGCAUUCAACGAGCUUAUAACCUUGGCCGAGAGGCCUGGGCAAUCUUGUUAACGUGCAUCGUGAUAGGGAUAGAUUAUUGAAAUUAUUAAUCUUGAACGAGGAAUUCCUAGUAAACGCAGAUCAUCAAUCUGCAUUGAUUACGGCCCUGCCCUUUGUACACACCGCCCGUCGCACCUACCGAUUGGAUGGUCCGGUGAAGCCUCGGGAUUGUGGUUCUUGCCGCUUUAUUGUAGCGUGACCGCGAGAACUUGUCUAAACCUUAUCAUCUAGAGGAAGGUGAAGUCGUAACA
rnacentral:rRNA from 1 species